ACAAAACAACCAGUUUUAAAGCACUUCUGACAAUAGAGGGAAAAAUUAUUAGAAACAAAAACCACACCAUAUUUAUAUUUCAUUCUGGAGUAAAUGCAUUUUUCAAAAACAAGUCUUACUUUUCAUAGACUAUAUCACAGCAAAGCAAUCCAGUAUGUAUAUGUGUCUAAAUAUGAUGCUAUAAAACAAACAUCACCCUCCAAUCAAUACUCUCAUACCCAACAUGACUUUAGCAAUUGUUGAUUGCUGAUGAUCCGAAACAGAUUUUUAUGUUCAUCCCUGCUGUCUCCAGAGACAACUCGCAGUAGCCUCAAGAUGUAUCAUUGCUCUGCGGAACUGGUCAUCGCCAUUGCCAACAAUGGACUUGAUGGAGGAGGUAGAGUGGCAAUCUCAGGCCACUUCUGUGGCAAUAACUGGAGAACAAUUGCCCCCUAAGCUGGACAGUCUAGUCUUCCGCUCUUUGUGGGUCCGUGCAGCCACCACCAGGACGGCCACUGCAGCCUCUUUGUGCGUCUGUGCGGCCUCCCACCGCGGCCUCUUCGUGGGUCCAUGCGGCCUCUCAGUCAUCCACCUCAGCCUCUAAGUGGGUCCAUGCAGCCUCCCAGCUGCCCUCCACCGCCUCUAUGUAGGUCCGUGCGGCCUCCUGGUGGCCCACCGGAGCCUCUUCACGGGUCCGUGAGGCCUCCUGGCCGCCCACCGUGGCCUCUUCCGUCAUUUUCUCUACAACCUGUGUCUCAUCCGCACCACAAAACCACAAUUCAUGACAUUACUUCUCCAUGGCUGCAGAGGGCGCUCCAGCUAUAUUAAUGAUUGAGUUUAAAUGUUGUGUUUGGAAGUAGUACGUGGCUUAAGAAACUGUCCUGUUUCUGUUGCUCUAAAGUUACUGUUGAUCAGUGAUAUCUGCACCACAUUUUGAAAGAACCGAGAACAUGCUUUAAGAUAUUAUUUGUUUAAUCUAAGCUGAACAGACAACAGUCCAUCCAUCCAUUUUCUUCCACCUAUCUGGUGUCAGGUGGAAGGGUACUAGCCUAAGUAAGGAGACUCCCAGCCACUUAGGCUAGCUAAUUCAGGGAAAAUCCAAGGCAUUCCCAGGCCAGAUGAGAAACACAGUCCCUCCAGUGUGUCCUGGGUCUUCCCCUGGAUCUCCUCCCAAUGGGACAUGCCUGUAAAAGUUCACCAGGGAGGUAUCCAGGAGGCAUCCUAACCAGCCCGAACCACCUCAACUGACUCCUCUUGACAUGAAGGAGCAGUGGCUCUACUCUGAGUCCCUCCUGGAUGACUGAGCUUCUCACCCUAUCUCUAAGGGAGAGUCCAGGCACCCUAUGGCUGCUUGUAUCUAUGACCUCGUUCUUUCAGUUAUGACCCAAAGCUCGUGACCAUAGAUGAGGGUAGGAAUGUAGGUAGGUAUUGAGAGCUUCGCUUUUUGACUUAGCUCUCUCUUCACCCAGACAGAUCGAUACAGUGCUCAAUUCACUGCAUACACUGCGCCAAUCUCCCGCUCCAUUUUUCCCUCAUUCGUGAACAAUAUUCAGAAAUACUUAAACUCCUCCACUUGGGGCAGGAUGUCUUGCUUGACCCCAAGAAGGCACUCUGCCCUUUUCCAGCUCAAGACCAUGGCCUCGGAUUUGGAGGCACUGAUCCUCAGCCUGGCCCCUCAACCUGGAUCCCCUCAACCUGUGCCUAGAAAUUCUGUCCAUAAAAGUAAUGAACAGAAUCAGUGACGAAGGGCAGCCUUGGUGGAGUGAAACUCUCACUGGAAACAAGCCCAACUUACUGCCAGCGAUGCAGACUCUGACAUUGGUCAUGCAGGGACCUAAUAGCCUGUAUCAAAGGGCCCAGUACUCCAUACUCCCAGAACACCCACCACAGGGCUCCCCAAGGGACACAGUGAAAUGGUCCCCCUUUUAAAUAGGGAGACCACCCCCCUGGGGAACUGCCCCCAAUGUCCAUGCAAUAUUGCAUCAACCAACACAACCCUACACAUCCAAAGCAUUAAGGAACUCCAGGUAAAUCUCAUCCUGCCUCUGUCAGGGUUCCUGUGUGCGUGAGUGCGAGUAACACAUCUCUUCCAGUGAGGAUCUUGGUGGAGAGCCUGGGCAGCCUUCACAGGUGGAGCUCAUCAGCCUCAUCAGAGUGCUGGGGAUAAAGGAGCAGCAGAGCCUUCACUCAGUGCUGGAUGAUUAACAUCUACUGGUUUUUGUCACUGGAUCUCUAUAGAGGAAUCGGUUCAACCGUUUUCUCCUCCUGUGGAACUUCCCAGCAAGUACCUACCUGCCUGCCUGCUCCACCGUUUCCCUCAUCUCCACUCCGCUCAGUCAGACUCCUGGCUCUCGGUCAUCGCCUACCUCGCACUUGCCUCCAGAAGCUCCAUCUCCAUUCUCCACACAGGACCCCUGUGCACCUUUCUCCCAUGCUUCACCAAGUCCAUUCGAAAGUAAGCCUUUUUCAUACUGCAUCUGAUCAACUCAUUACAGGCCACCAAUAACCCAACUCUCAUUCCAGACGCCACGGAUUGCAUGACACUGACACUCCCUGAUACAUCAAGGAGACAGGUAAAUUGUUGCUUGUUCUUUGAAAGAAAUAAAACCUAUACCUUAA